rnacentral:lncRNA from 1 species
CUCUCCUCCUUGAUCAGACCUGAGCCAGAUGGGCCAGCGGUCCACCUGCACACAAAUCACUGACAAAACGUAACACGUUGCCAUGAGCUGCCAUUACCUUGAAGCAAGUGUGCCUCAUCCCCAGGGCCAGAUGCACCACCAUCUGCAGUAAUGAACCUGGUUCUCUUUGCAAAGAGAGAUCCUAUAACCAGGACUGAGACCGAAUUUCUCAGUCGUCAAGUUGGUGAAGAUUUGCCGCUGGAUUCAUUUGAAAGAGAAAAAAAGAAGGGAUGCAAC